UACGAAGGGGGCUAGCGUUGCUCGGAAUUAUUGGGCGUAAAGAGCUCGUAGGCGGUCCGUCACGUCGGCUGUGAAAACCUGGGGCUCAACCCCGGGCCUGCAGCCGAUACGGGCGGACUAGAAUUCGGUAGGGGAGACUGGAAUUCCUGGUGUAGCGGUGAAAUGCGCAGAUAUCAGGAGGAACACCGGUGGCGAAGGCGGGUCUCUGGGCCGAUAUUGACGCUGAGGAGCGAAAGCGUGGGGAGCGAACAGG
rnacentral:rRNA from 1 species